rnacentral:lncRNA from 1 species
GUAUAUUCGCAAUCGCGGCUAACGCAAGCCCUGGUUUUAAUUAAAUAUACCUAUGCUUUUGACCCGAGUGAUUAAUUGUCUCUGAUUUCGUUGCAUAAUUCUUUUUCGAGGACGAAAAAAGAGUAAGUGUGGGGAUGUUUGAUGUAUUGCAAAAUACAUCUUUUAUUCGUGUACAGUUUGUCUUGAUGUUCAAAUAUGCGGGAAACCGAGUGGAAUGAGCCAAAAUAUUGAAGUGUCAAGUCUUGAAGCAUGUUGGAAAGAUCGGGAGCCGAAAAGAAGUUAAAAAGCUGAAAAAAGAGCCUCUGGCUCCCGUGAGGAGUUUCUGGCACCCGGCGAGAGUCUGAAGGUAGUACAUGAGCUGAAAAACAAGGUGGCACCCCACCACCCAGUCCCUGAUCUUGUGGUGCCCAGCCAGAAGCCUGUAGCUGCCAAUUUGUGCGAAUUUUAUAAGGGUUUGUUAUGGAAAGUCAUAUAUAUUCAUCUUAAACUUGGAAAAAACCCUAGUGACGAUUUUGGGACUUCUUGGGCGAAUUAUUGAGCAUUCUUGGAGCAAUUUUGGAGUUCUCGAAGCAUAAGAAUCAUCGGUACAAGUUCGGGGAAGAAGACUUGAAGAUCUAAUCGGGUUUUCUAGUUCUUUAUUCUUAACUUUUCUUACGAAACUUGUUAUGAUGAAUUCGUAUUUAGACAUCUUUGAAUUGUUUUCACAUUUUAACAUGCUCGGCUAAAUUUAUUAACCACCUAGACUUGAUGAAUGGAUUAAAAUAAAGUUUUUAC